rnacentral:rRNA from 1 species
GAUGAACGCUGGCGGCGUGCUUAACACAUGCAAGUCGAACGAUGAUGCCCAGCUUGCUGGGUGGAUUAGUGGCGAACGGGUGAGUAACACGUGAGUAACCUGCCCUUGACUCUGGGAUAAGCCUGGGAAACUGGGUCUAAUACCUGCUACGACCAUCUGGCGCAUGUCAUGGUGGUGGAUAGAUUGUGUGGUUUUGGAUGGACUCGCGGCCUAUCAGCUUGUUGGUGGGGUAAUGGCCUACCAAGGCGACGACGGGUAGCCGGCCUGAGAGGGUGACCGGCCACACUGGGACUGAGACACGGCCCAGACUCCUACGGGAGGCAGCAGUGGGGAAUAUUGCACAAUGGGCGCAAGCCUGAUGCAGCGACGCCGCGUGAGGGAUGACGGCCUUCGGGGUGUAAACCUCUGUCAGUAGGGAAGAAGCGAAAGUGACGGUACCUACAGAAGAAGCGCCGGCUAACUACGUG